rnacentral:rRNA from 1 species
GAUGUUGGGUUAAGUCCCGCAACGAGCGCAACCCUCGUUUUUAGUUGCUAGAAAUCUAAAAAGACUAUCGGUUAUAAACCGGAGGAAGGUGAGGAUGACGUCAAGUCAGCAUGCCCCUUAUAUCCUGGGCUACACACGUGUUACAAUGGUUGAGACAAUGAGAAGCGAGCUUGCGAAAGUCAGCAAAUCUCUGAAACUCAUCCCAAGUUCGGAUUGCAGGCUGAAACUCGCCUGCAUGAAGCUGGAAUCGCUAGUAAUCGCCGGUCAGCAUACGGCGGUGAAUCCGUUCCCGGGCCUUGUACACACC